CUUUAAAAAUACGAAGGUUGUGUCAUUUUCGAUCAUUCAGUUAUAUUGCAGCUAUUAACUAUAGUCGGCCGAUCCUAAUGAUAUAUUAUAUUAAUAAUGUGGAUCCUAUGGGUUUACCAAAAAGAGAAUCUGCAUUAAGUCUGAACCUGAUAUGCAAAAAAAUACCAAAAAUUAUGCCAUUUCCGAUCAAUCAGUUAUGUGGCGGGUAUAGGAUAUACAUAGUUCCGACUUAUAUAUUGGGUGCAAAGAAAUAAAAGACUGAAAGACUUGAUUGCGUUUAAUAGUGAGAGAAACUUAGAAACAUGCUUAUUUCAUAUUCACUGCGUUACAUACUUUUGACUAAAAUUAUAAUACCUUCUGCAAGGGUAUAAUGAGCACUGUGAGUAUAGGGCUGAGCACACCUGGUGUUAAACAUUACGAGGCAGAGCGUUGCUGAGAUAAUGUGUUACGAAUAAAAUAUUUAAAGGCAGAAGUUAAAGGUUUUAAAAUAUAUCCUACAUUUUUGUAAAAGCAAACAACUUCUUUUAGUUGUUAAGUAAAUAUGCUUAACCAUUUUUUUGAUAAUAUUUAUAAUAUUUAUUUAAGCGGGGUUUAUAAGACUUAAAAAAAAAAUAUAUAUAAAAAAUUACAAAUGUGAAUAUUUUCUUUUUUUGAUUUCUAAAAAUAAAAAUACAAAUAGCCUAGUCUGAAAUAGUUUGAUGAAUCCAGCCAAGGUAUAUGCACCUUUUUAUUGGAACGGAAUCAUGGAUGGCUGAAUAAUAUAAUGUAUACAAUGUAUUGCUGUAUUUAUGCAUGUACAUAUACAAGUAAAUAUGUAUUCAAUAUAGAGAAAGGGUGAUACAAAUUUUAAUAUAAAUAUAUUAUAAAUUAAAAUCAUUAUAUUAUAAAAAUUAAAAUCUAAAACUAAAUUUAAUAGAAAUAAUUACAAUCA